rnacentral:rRNA from 1 species
UCGCCUACGGGGGGCAGCAGUGGGGAAUAUUGGACAAUGGGCGCAAGCCUGAUCCAGCCAUGCCGCGUGAGUGAUGAAGGCCUUAGGGUUGUAAAGCUCUUUCACCGAUGAAGAUAAUGACGGUAGUCGGAGAAGAAGCCCCGGCUAACUUCGUGCCAGCAGCCGCGGUAAUACGAAGGGGGCUAGCGUUGUUCGGAUUUACUGGGCGUAAAGCGCACGUAGGCGGUUUGUUAAGUCAGGGGUGAAAUCCCGGAGCUCAACUCCGGAACUGCCUUUGAUACUGGCAAGCUAGAGUCCGGAAGAGGUAAGUGGAACUCCUAGUGUAGAGGUGGAAUUCGUAGAUAUUAGGAAGAACACCAGUGGCGAAGGCGGCUUACUGGUCCGGAACUGACGCUGAGGUGCGAAAGCGUGGGGAGCAAACAGGAUUAGAUACCCUUGUAGUC